AACGAACGCUGGCGGCAGGCUUAACACAUGCAAGUCGAGCGCCCCGCACGGGGUGCGGCAGACGGGUGAGUAACGCGUGGGGACGUACCCUUAUCUUCGGCCUACCUCCGGGUUACUGGAAUUAUUACCGAAUUUGCCCUUUUGGGGGAAGAUUUAUCGGAUAAGGAUCGGCCCGCGUUGGAUUAGCUAGUUGGUGGGGUAAAGGCCUACCAAGGCGACGAUCCAUAGCUGGUCUGAGAUGAGGAUCAGCCACAUUGGGACUGAGACACGGCCCAAACUCGGACGGGAGGGGGCAGUGGGGAAUAUUGGAGAAUGGGCGCAAGCCUGAUACAGCCAUGCCGCGUGAGUGAGGAAGGGCUUAGGGUUGUAAAGCUCUUUCAGCGGAGAAGAUAAUGACGGUAUCCGGAGAAGAAGCCCCGGCUAACUUCGUG
rnacentral:rRNA from 1 species